rnacentral:rRNA from 1 species
UACGGAGGGUGCGAGCGUUGUCCGGAAUCACUGGGCGUAAAGGGCGCGUAGGCGGCGCGGGCAGUCAACGGUGAAAGCUCGGGGCUCAACUCCGAGUCGGCCGUCGAUACUCCCGCGCUCGAGCACUGUAGAGGCAGGUGGAAUUCCGGGUGUAGCGGUGGAAUGCGUAGAGAUCCGGAAGAACACCGGUGGCGAAGGCGGCCCACUGGCUCGAUACUGACGCUGAGGUGCGAAAGCGUGGGGAGCAAACAGG